GUCGAGAAUCUUCCGCAAUGCGCGAAAGCGUGACGGAGCGACACCGCGUGAUGGAUGAAGUCCUUCGGGGCGUAAACAUCUUUUAUAAAGGAGGAAAUUUUUGACGUUACUUUAUGAAUAAGGGGCUCACAAUCUCGUGCCAGCAGGAGCGGUAAUACGAGAGCCUCAAGCGUUAUCCGGAAUCAUUGGGCGUAAAGGGUGCGUAGGUGGUUUGAUUAGUCUCCCGUUAAAACUUCGAGCUUAACUCGAAAAGAGCGGGGGAAACGGUCAAACUAGAGUAUGUGAGAGGUGUGUGGAACUCAUGGUGUAGGGGUGAAAUCCGUUGAUAUCAUGGGGAACACCAAAAGCGAAGGCAGCACACUGGCACAUCACUGACACUGAGGCACGAAACCUAAGGUAGCGAAUGGGAUUAGAUACCCCGGUAGUCC
rnacentral:rRNA from 1 species